rnacentral:tRNA from 6 species
GGAGAGGUGGCAGAGUGGUCUAAUGUACCUGACUCGAAAUCAGGCGUGGGUUCAUAGCCCACCGAGGGUUCGAAUCCCUCCCUCUCCUCCA